GCCCUGCCGUAGGCCGUCCUGCACGCCUAGUGGCAGCAAUGGCGGACGUGUCCGAGAGGAAGCUGCAGUUGUCCGUGCUGUUGGCCUUCGCCUCCGGAGUGCUCGUGGGCUGGCAGGCGAACCGGCUGCGGAGGCGCUACCUGGACUGGAGGAAGCGGAGACUGCAGGACAAGCUGGCGGUGACGCAGAAAAAGCUGGAUCUGUCCUGAGCCCGGUGCCGUCGGCCCCCCGCACUGCCACCUAGCCUUCGCCGGCGCGGGGGCACCUCCUGAGCCAGGCUUGCCUCACAGUCCCCGCCUGCCAAGCCAAGCUCCUCCCGAAGUGGCGCUUGUCGAAGAUGGAUAUAGAGCAUGGACCGAAAUCAUUUCUCCUUGCACUUUCUGAAUCAGUUUUAUUUUUAAAAUAAAAAUAUUUUAAACCUUUUUGAACCUUUUUUAUUAAAAGUAAAAUUGGCAUUGAGGAGGUUGGGAAAUUCCUGCCAUGCAGUUUACUGCAUCAAGAGGCCUGGACCCUCAAAACUGAUAUAUUUGUGUUUUUGAGCAGAGUUUCUUAAGGAAUCUAUGCUAGUUCCUUGGUACGACUACAAAGCAGGGUUGGCCUGGGGACCAUUAUGAGUCAUUUUGGUCAAUUGUUUUACUGCACCUGUUCAGGAAAGCAAGGAGCUGUGUAAAAAUAACUGAGGUAAGGGUGAUAUGUGUAAGACCUUUGAACUGCUUAGAGUGAUAGCAUUUUCCCAGCAGAGUGUAACUUUUUAUUGACAAAAAUUUCAUUGGUGUCAUUGAGUACACAUAUGAAGGAGAAACCCUCUUAAAAAGAGCUUAGUGACAAACCCCAACUGAAUCUGGAAAUCAAGAGUGAGUGACGAAGUCCCUGGUGAUUUUUCAUUUCCUAAGCUUUUAAUGGUCACCUUUCCAUCCACCUCUGAUUAGAACACCGCCCUUGCUUAUUCCUGUAAAGAUCAAUUUUGUGUCUUAGCACAUUUAAUAGCAGCACCAUGUUAACUUAAGACAAUUCAGAGAAGCUGUUUCCACGGAAAACUUUUUAUUUUUCCCAAAAUGCUUUGUUACUUUUGGUGUGGGAGGUGGAGGUGAAUAGGGUCUAGAAGGAAGGGAAGACUACCAGGGUGCUGGUAAUGUCCUGUAUCCUAAUCUGAGUAAUGUCACAUGGAAGUGUGUUCAGUGUGUAAAUUCAGAGAGUGAACGCUUGUCUGUUACAUGUCUUUACAUUGAAGAUGAAAGGACACAGCAUGGCAGUUGGGCCUGUGGUACUGAAGAACAUUCCUUUAUUAUUAGUGUGCUUCAUCAUUUGAAAUGCGAGCUCAGUUCAUCAUCAUUCUUCAGUGUAGUGGAAACACUCUGGGAAUUGGAUUUAUAGAAUUCAGUCCCAUUUGGGGAAAUGUUAUUACAGUCUCCCUGAGAGUAGGCAUACAGUGGAACCAUAAUUAUUUGCUCACAGGCUCGCUGCAGAACACACAGAAUCACCAUCUUCACGGAACUCAGGAUGGACAAUAUACAAAACGAACGAAAUGAAACUUCAACACCCCAAGUGGCAAAGAACUAACAACUGCCUUUUGAAAUGAGAGUAUGCAACAGAACCAUGUAUCUCAUGAAGGCAAUAUUGGAAAGCUACCUUUGCAGUUACUUUAACAAUUUAAGAUGCUUAAGUGGUAUGUUAAGGUCACUUUAGCAAACUGGCACCAGAAAACCAAUGCCGGAACACCGAGUGCCCCAGCAGGCGUAGACUGCGGUACCAAGCGACGUGCAGUUUCAGGCGCGGCAGGCGUUCCCCAAUCUCCACCCUGGUGCUUUGGAUUGGCCCCGGAAGAAACGAGUACCUGGACAGGGAGUCCGAGAACUUCGGGCCCGCGACACAAGAUGAGCCCCGCACUCACCAGCCAGCCAGUCACGAGGGGUCGACCUGAUGACGUCAUCUGGUGACGUCACUACCGGGGCCACCGCCGCGGUGAAGCAGGCACCCACAAACACUCUCCAGGGUAUAAGGUACAGCAUUUCUGGAAAACAAUUUUUAGCAAACAUUCAUUCUCCUAGGCUGGGUGAUUACAUUUCCAAGGAUUCAUAAUAAAAAAAAUUAUUCAUAAUAAAUAAUUAUUCAUAAUAAAAAAUUGGGACAGAUAUGUAUAAACGUGUUCAUCCCAGUAUUAUAUUAGAAAAGACUGGAUACGACUUACAUGAUCAGUAAUAGGGGAAUGGAUACACAUGAUGGGAUAGAAUACUGUGAUUAAAAUUUUGUUAGAGAUUUUAAUGUUAGGGAAAAUAUUUGUGGUAAAAUGUCAGUUUAGAAAAAAUAUAAAGUUAAACAUGCAUAUUUCAAUACAUUUUUUAUAUAUGUAAAAAAAUAAGGAAAAAUGCUAGAGUGGUAACUGGUAGCAUCCUGAUUGAUGAUUCUUAUGUUUCUCUUCAUACUUCUUGAUAUUUUCAUAAUUUUGAACACCAAAUGCAUAUUACUUUUAAAAAUAAGAAAGUAUGUAGUAAUUAAUGGGUUGUUAAUUUAUUUUCUGAAACUCUUAUUUCACUUUGCUAAUUUUACUUUUUAAUUUUCAUAUGAUCCAUUACCAAGUGUUUCCACUAAAUAAAAUAAUUUUGUAAUCUUCGGUAGACAAGAGAUUUACCGAAUGUUCAUACUGUAUCCAGUUUUGGACUCUCGUUUGAAAAACACCCAAGAUUUGAUGGAUAGAUUUUUCUUAAGUGACUCUAUUGGAAUUAUAGUGGUGUAACAAAAACAAAAUACUCUUCUGGUAGAAAUAAAAUAAAACUCGACAAGGCAUUGAUUUAAGCUGAGCUUUGGCCAGCUGAUUAAUAUGGUUCUGUAUCUAAUUUUGAAUUUAGUUGGGCAUUGAAAGAACCAGGAAAAAAUUUGAGAAGUAAACUACAGAAAUUGUUAUUAAAACAAAGAUGAAACAAUAAAUUAUGACAAGGACUACUA